rnacentral:lncRNA from 1 species
GUCUCCAGGGCCAAUAUUCCCAGCAUCAUUAAGAAUCUUAGCACCAGAGCCUUGCCCAGAAUUCCAGGUUCCUGGCCUCUGAUCCCACAGCUUCACAUUGUUAGGAAAAAAAAAAAAAAAAUCAUGAGCCAUUUGCCCACUACAGAGAGAGUUGGAAGACCACUUAUCCUCUUCUGGGGUCGAAAGCAUCCGAGACUAGAAGAUGUAGAUGGAAGAGAGGGAUUUAAAAAAGCCAAAAAUAAAAGGAGAUAAGUUUUUAAACACAAGAAAAAGGAGUAAACUAUUAGCAUUCAAACCAAGAAGUCUAACAGUGUUGUUGUGAUUUUUCUUCUGAAUAUCUCAUAACUCUGCCUAAGAUUUUGUGACCAGAAAGAUGACCCCAGUUUGGGCGACCCUGGCCUGGGAUCCAAGAUUCUAAAGAUUUGUUCCAGGAUUUGCCCUCUGACUUUUUGUACAAUCCUUGGGAAUUACCUUAACCUUUUUGUGACCUGAUCCUCUCUGUAAAAGAGAUAAAAUUACUUGCCUUAGUAUAAUGCUUUAAAAAAAAAAUCUAUGAGAUUCCCAGAGGGAAGUUUUGUUCUUUUGUCUAGAGGGAAAAAAUGAUACUUUGCCCCUACAGCAAUGUUUAGAAAAUUAUCUGAGAUAAACAAUGCAAUUAAGUUUAUUUGUGUGUGUGUUUGGUACUUCUCAGUUGAACAAUAUGUAUUUGGCCCAAGAAUGGUUUUACCUUUAAUUUUAUUUCAUUCUGGAAUGUUAUACAACAUGCCUCACAGGAAAAACUUCCCUUGGAGAAGGAAAUUUGAAAUAGGUAAAUUUAACCAUGUCCUUUGCAACAGUUCUGAAAUGUGCCUGGAACUUCUCUCUGUUCUACGUGUGUCCUACAAGAAUGUUGGGUGUCAUUAGCUUAUUUACAAGUCACAAUGCGAAUACCUAUAACUCCCAAUUCAACUCCUCAAUUCUGAUCUCUCCAGUGAGUUUUUUUGCUUGAGUGCUAACUGCCUGCUGGGUCUUCAUUUGAGUAUUCCACAGUCAGUUCCACCUCAAUACAUCCUGAAUGGGGCUCUUUAUUACCUUCCUUCUCCCCAUACUCAGUCACCCUCUGCUGCAGUUAUUCAGCCAAGCCUGACAUUCAUUCCAGAUCAUUCUGCUUCUCUCAUUCAGCAUUUUCAAUCAAUCAAGAAAUCUUAUCAAUAUCUCUAAAGUCUGUCUCCUCUUAAUCCCCACACCACUGUCCUUGUUAAGUCCUUUAUCGUUUCUCAUUUGAAUGAUUGCUAGUUAUUGAUCCAAGUAUUUUUUAAGGAUAUAUUGUUGGCCAGGCACUGUUCUAGGAACUUGGGAUGCAAUUAACAAACAAAAUAUACAAAGAUCCUGACCCUUGGAAUAUAAACUUGGAGAGUUUAUAUUCUAAUGGUUGUGGUGGGGGGACAUAAUAAGUGGAUAAUUACAUUGUAAAUCUAAAAAAUAAUAAUUUUUAUUAUUACUUUAGAGCAGGGGUAUUGGGAAAAUUUUUUUUGGUGGGGAGGCUGCAGUGUGCCAUUUUAAGUAGAGUGAUUGGGGUGAGUGUCUUUAAGAAGAUAACAUUUGAGCAAAGAUGUGAUGGAUGUAGUUACCUGGGGGAAGAAUUCCAGGUAGAGGGAAAAGACCCUAAUAUGAGAGUGUGGCUGGUAUGUUCAAGACAGAGCAAGAAAAUUAGCCCAGCUGGAGUGGAGGAAAUGAGGGAAGGUGGUCAGAAAAGAGGGCAGAGCUUAUUAUAUGAAGUACAGCUUUUCUAACUGAACUUGAUUCUACUGAACCUGAUUCUAAGUAGGAUCAGGAAUCACUGCUAGGUUUUAAACAGAGGAAUGAUGAAAUCUGAUAUAUGUUUUAAAAGGAUGGUUUUGACUAUCACCCUGAGAAGAGACUUAGGGAAACCAGGAUAGAAACGGAGACCAGGUAAAAGGCUGUAGCAACAAUGUGGGUGAGAGAUGUGGGGGGCUGGGACAGGGGUAGUAGCAAUGGAUGUGAUGAGAGAAAGAUUCUGGAAUACUUUGAAAGCAAAGCCAAUGAAAUUUCUGGAAGGUCUACAAGGACGACUAUAGACCUUAUGAUGAGAGAAGAAUAGGAGUCAGGCAUAGGGAGAUAAGAGACCUGAGUGGUUUACCUGCAUCUGGGUGUUCCCUGUCCAGGACUCCUUCCUCAAAGUCCAUCCUCCUGCCAGGGUAACCUUUCUAAACUGCAAACCUGAUCCUUUCACUCCUCACUGAAUACUUUUGGCAGCUCCCUUGUGCCUAUAUCCUCUUCAUUUACUAUAGGAGGCCUUUUGUGAUAUGACCCUGCCUUUAUUUCCUGACAUAAUUCCCAGCCCCUCUAUCUUAUUAUCUUAUUCCAAACCACCUUGGGGCACCUAUACUCACCAUGCUGGGUGGUGAUUCUGGGACUUAGAUACAGUUGUUUCUUAUUUUUUGACUCUGAUUCUGAAACAAGCCUCUCCACUGACUGUCCUGAUCGACAGGAACUCAAUUUCUAGUCCAACCUCAAACAUCACCUUGUCUAGAAUGUGGGCUGAGUGCCCUUCUGCAGGGACACACAGUUCCAUGGGCACAUCUCUUUGUAAUGCUCACCACCUCAUGCUGAAAUGUGUCUGCCUCUUUUAUAACUUAGUACCUUUUCUCCUCUGAAAAUAGUUAGCACAUUAUUAGGCACAGAAAGCAACAAGGAUUCCUUAAAUAUUUGCUACUCUUGUUUGAAAGCUCAAGGGCUGGGUUGGCAUAAACCAAUUUCCUCCCCAGUCUAUAGGUUUCCUGGCCAUAUCUCAGGAGAGGAGAGCAUUACCUUACAUCACUGAAAACCAGAAGUGGUCACAUGAAGUGUGUCACGUAGCUAAUGACUUUCUCUUUCUCUCUUACUUCUGUUUCUCUUUGCAUCACCUCAGCCAACCUGGGUUCUAAGUGGUCCCAUCAGCCUCCUGGAUGUUCUGUGAUGAGUCAUAAACAUUUUACAGUAUUUCUCUCCUGAGCAUAAGAAAACAAAGACACACACAUCAUUUUCUCUGAGCCAUGCUGUUGACUGCCCUGAGCAGGGUUAGGACAUUGUACUAAAAACCACAGCCCAAGGGGCACUGGCAGCAAAGGCACAUCUCAUUGUGGGUGAUGGAGGCUCAGGUUGCCUUUGUGGACAAAGUCUAAGAGAAGCAGAUGGGGCCAUUUUGUAAGCUUUCUAUUCAAAGAAAAUCAGGAGCAGAAUAAAAAGAAGUUUUGGACACAAAUGUUAAAUGGAACAGAGCAGAUGUAGGAAGCAUCAAGCUGGGCCUUUGGGGAGGGGAAGAAAUGAAAUAGAACCCAAACAAGGCAUUUCCCCCCCCCACACCCAGUGGAAUACACCCACGCUGCUUUACACUCUCUGUGCAGCUCUCACUCCAGGGGUCUGGGAUUCCAGCCAGGUGCACGGGGCCACGGCCUAGGCGCUGAAUGGUGCCAAGACUGUUUGCUGAAAGACAAUGAUGCCCCAGCCUGUUUCCCAGACAGCCCAGCUGAAGUGCCUGGGAGCGCGGAGCCUUUGAGUAGCUACAUCAGUGACAGCUUGGCAACCUCACGUUCUCCGGGAGGAUGGAAAUGUUGAGGGGAUAGAGGUGGGGGUGUUGGCAAGGGCUGUAUGUUUGGGGCUUUGAAAAAUCUCAGAUGCCCCGUGAUUCUCUAAGUCUUUGGUAAAUUACCUUUUAUUAGCUUUGUUAAGCCUCUGUGGCCUCAAACUGUCUCCUCAAAACUCAGCCAUCUGCUCCCCUCCUGUCUGUAAUUAUGACCACACACAUAAAAAAAGAGCUUCAUUUGAUUCUUCCUUUAAAAAAAAAUAGUGAAGGAGAAUGCAGAGGGGCAAAUGAAUAAGGAUUGAAAUUUGCAGAGAGUUACUCAAAAAGGCAGCUAUUUCUGAAACAGAACCAAUCCUGACACAAAGGGCAUUAUUAAUUUGUUGGUGACUGGAGUAAGCGUAAUUAGCCCAUCAGGCAUUUGCUGGAACAUAAAUAAAUAUGUGUUAAACUACGUUUAAAGGCAAGGGACGAGGCUAGAUGCUGUGAAAGAAAAAGACUUUUCAGGAAAUCACUGCACUCAAAAGAAGAGUAAAAAGUUAAACUGCAACUUUCAAAAAAAUUAGGUCAAGAAAUAUUGCAAGACAUAUGCACAGUACAGGCUAGAAGUUCUGUGUUUUCUUGCAUGAGGGUGCAAGUGCUGUGAGAUGAAAAGUUUCAAGGAAGAGAAAGGGAAUUUCAAGAGGCAGAAGAGACUCGUGGAUGCACCAGGCUCAUCUUCCUACCCAGACAGAAAUCCUUUCCACAGUAUACAACUUCUUUUAUAAUAUUUUUGAUGACAGGCAUUCAUUACCUCACUAAUCAACCCAUUUUGCUUGAAGAUAUUCUUUUUUCUAGAAGAUUGUCUUCAACGUAGAACUGCAAUCUAGCUUUCUUUUUUUAACUCAUAGACAAAAGAGAGUUUCAUCUAACCCCUCUUGACUGGAAGAAAAUCAGCAGCGGCCUCAAUAUCCUUUCCUCUCCAGACCAGCCAUCCUUCCCUUUUCCCCACAUGACUCAGGAUCCAGCUACCUUCUGGCUGCACUUUCUGCCCAGGGAAGAAUUCUGCCCAAGGUGGUGCCCAGCUCAGGACCUAGCACUCCAGAUAAGUUUGGGUCAAAGAUCUUGCAACCAUAAUUUAUCAUUUUCUCAGCAUGACUCACCUAUUCAAACAGCUUAAUACUGCCUUAGAUUUUCAGCCACCACACUGCACUGCAGGUAAGUAGAAAACCUGUGAUCCAACAAAAGACCCUUUUGUCAUCUCCACCUAAGCUUGCCACUAAGCCAGGUGUCCCCUGCUUGAGCUGAAAGUCAAGGAUGAGUGAUUGGAAAAGGAGGAGAAGGCAUUCUGGUUGAGGGGAGAAACUCAGACAAAGGUGUUUAGGGAAUAUUGAGUGGCUAUCAGACAUAAAAAUUGAUUUUGAUGCUACAGUAAAUAAAGCAAUUUUAUACCAGCAUGGAUAUUGCACCAAAUACAGAAUGGAGAACAGAGCCACAGAAAUUAAGUAUGCUUUAAAAUUUCCUCUCAUAUAAGUGGGGCAAUAUGGACUACCUAUACUUAGAAAAUCUAGCUAUCCAUUUAUCUGAAAGGAUUCAAUACAUUCUUAUCUUCAUCUAUUCAAAUUAACUUUAAAUAUAUUCAAUAAUAGAUGUUAUGGAAGGAGUUUCCGGUCAUGGCUCAGUGGUUAACAAACCCAACUAGUAUCCAGGAAGGCAUGGGUUCAAUCCCUGGCCUUGCUCAGUGGGUCAAGGAUCCCAUGUUGCUGUGGCUGUGGUUAGGCCAGCAGCUACAAUUCUGAUUUCACCCCAGC